UUAUCAUUACACGAUUACGGCGCCCUUCGGGGCUUAAUAGGGAAUCCGGUAUUAAUCCGGAACGCUGCCCGGCACUGUAUACGGGACAAUCACUCUUUCCAUGAAGCCACUGGGGAAACCCGGGAAGGCGGAACGAGCCCGUGAGUCAGGAGACCUGCCGUAACAUACCGCGUUUU
rnacentral:ncRNA from 2 species